rnacentral:rRNA from 1 species
GAUGAACGCUGGCGGCGUGCCUAAUACAUGCAAGUCGAGCGAACGGACGAGAAGCUUGCUUCUCUGAUGUUAGCGGCGGACGGGUGAGUAACACGUGGAUAACCUACCUAUAAGACUGGGAUAACUUCGGGAACCCGGAGCUAAUACCGGAUGAUAUUUUGAACCGCAUGGUUCAAAAGUGAAAGACGGUCUUGCUGUCACUUAUAGAUGGAUCCGCGCUGCAUUAGCUAGUUGGUAAGGUAACGGCUUACCAAGGCAACGAUGCAUAGCCGACCUGAGAGGGUGAUCGGCCACACUGGAACUGAGACACGGUCCAGACUCCUACGGGAGGCAGCAGUAGGGAAUCUUCCGCAAUGGGCGAAAGCCUGACGGAGCAACGCCGCGUGAGUGAUGAAGGUCUUCGGAUCGUAAAACUCUGUUAUUAGGGAAGAACAUAUGUGUAAGUAACUGUGCACAUCUUGACGGUACCUAAUCAGAAAGCCACGGCUAACUACGUG